rnacentral:rRNA from 1 species
GACGAACGCUGGCGGCGUGCCUAAUACAUGCAAGUCGAACGCAGUGGGGACGGGUGAGUAACACGUGGGUAACCUCCCAUCAGAGGGGAUAACACUUGGAACCAGAUGCUAAACCGAUACUGAUGGAUGGACCCGCGGUGCAUUAGCUCGUUGGUGAGGUAACGGCUCACCAAAGCAACGAUGCAUCGCCGAACUGAUAGAGUGAUACGUCACACUGGGACUACGACACGGCCCAGACUCCUACAGGCGGCAGCAGUAGGGAAUCUGCGGCAAUGGACGAAAGUCUGCACGGGUAACGCAGCGCGAGUGAAGAGGGUUUGCGGAGCGUAAAUCUCUGUUGUUAGAGAAGCGUUAUCUAACCAGUAAGCCACGGCUAAGUAAGGGCCAGCAGCCGCGGUAAUAC